rnacentral:piRNA from 1 species
UGAUACGCUUUCUAAAUCUUCAACUUCUCU